CACCAGCUCCACGAGUGGCAAUCGUAUUUAUUGGGUCUAAAGCGUCCGUAGCCGGUCCUAUAAGUCUCUUGUGAAAUCAUUGAGCUUAACUCAAUGGUGUGCUUGAGAUACUGUUGGACUAGGGACUGGGAGGAGUCAGAAGUAUUUCUAGGGGAGCGGUAAAAUGCUAUAAUCCUGGAAGGACUACCUGUGGCGAAAGCGUCUGACUAGAACAGAUUCGACGGUGAGGGACGAAAGCUAGGGGAGCAAUCCGGAUUAGAUACCCUCGUA
rnacentral:rRNA from 1 species